rnacentral:lncRNA from 1 species
GGGGCUCGGGGGAGCGCGGGGCGUGCAGGGCGCCCCCGCCCCCGCCCCCGCCCCGCCCCCGCCGGCGCCAGGAUUCCCCCGCUCCGGUUGCUAUGGGGACAGCUGCGCCGGUGAAUGAGCGUCUUAGUGACACGCGCGCGCCCGCUCAGCCAGAUGCGGUCGGCGCCGGGCCCGGGCCAGGUCGGGUAAGGUGCGGGGCGACACGGGCUCCGGCAGUUGAGCGCCUUCCCCUCGCGCGCGGAGGAACUUGGUGUUGAAAACGGAGAAACGGUACAGCGAGGACCGUGAGCUCCCCGGGUGCCAGGCGCGGGGCGAGCGAGGACAGCCUCCCUGGGGCCAGGCACACAGCGGAAGCUCAAGAAAAAAACUGAGUGGGGGGCGCGGUGGGGGGUGAAUGAAUGAUUCUAUCAGGGAGGUGAGAUUUCACACCCAGCACUUCUUGACCCUCGGCCCUCAGUCACAUCUGAAGGUGCGCUGGGGCAAGCGCUCGGGACAAGAAGCCCGGGCCACCGGGUUCCUGCACACCUAGCUCUGGGGGCCUUUGGGUGAGUACAGAGCGGACCUAGGAGACUGGGUUGCUGGCCAAACUGGAGGAGCAGAUCUCAGGGACAAACCAUCGACUCUGAACCGAGUGGUCCUGUCAGCUGUAAAAGGUGGGGGAAUCCGAGCCUCUGUGGCCCUUCGCAGUUAAAGAAGGCUUCCUGGAGUAAGGGGCUUCAAGCAAUAGCACAAGCAGGGGGAGCAGCAGAGGGAGAGGAAGAAGCAGGCUCCUCACAGAGCAGGGAGCCCAAUGUGGGGCUCUAUCCCAGGAACCCAGGAUCCCAAGGAUCAUGACUUGAGCCGUAGGCAGAUGCUCAACUGACUUAGCCACCCAGGCACCCCAACAACAAACUGAUUCUAAAGUGUAUAUGAAGAGACAAAAGACCUGGAAUAACCAAUAUUGAAGAAGAACAAAGCUGAAGGACUGACACUACCCAACUUCAAUAUUUGCUGUAAAGCUACAGUAAUCAUGGCAGUGUUUGGUGUUGGUGAAAAAAUAAACAAAUGAUGCAGUGCAACAGAAUAGAGAGCCACAUAGAUACAGUCAACUGACCUUUGACAAGAAGCAAAGGCAAUAUAAUGGAGCAGAGGUAGUCUUUUCAACAAAUGGCACAUGAACAACUAGACAUCUACAUGCAGGGGGAAAAAAAUCUAGACUUUAUACCCUUCACAAAAAUUAACUAAAAAUGGGUCACAUACCAAAGUGGAAAAUGCAAAACUAUAAAACUGAUGCUACCCAACCUCAAGAUUUACUAUAAAGGUACAGUAAUCACAACAGUGUGGUAUUGCGAAAGAAUAAAUAACUGGAGCAGGGCAGCUUUAAUGCCAAAAUUUGGAAGCAACCAAGAUGUCCUUGGGCAGGUGAAUAUCAAACAGUGGUACAUCUAGGCCCUGGAAUAUUUCUUGCGGCUAAACAGAAAUGAACUAAAAGCCAUGAAUAGGCAUGGAGGAAACGUAAAUAUAAAUUACUAAAUGAAAAAAUACAUGAAAAGGCUACUUACUGUAUGAUUCUAACUAUAUGACAUUCUGGAAAAGGCAAAACUAUGGCAAUAGUAAAAAGAUCAGUGGUUGCCAAAGAUGGUAGGGAAGGAAGGAUGAAUUGGCAGAGCACAGAGGAUUCCUGGGACCAUGAAACUACCCUGUAUAAUAACAUAAUGGUGGAUAAUGUCAUUACACAUUUGUUCAAACCCCAUAGAAGGUACAACACUAAUAGUGAACCUUAAUAUAAACUAUGGACUCUGAGUGAAACUAUGUCAAUGCAGGUUCCUUGAUGAUAACAAAGGUACCACUUUGGUGGGGGGAUAUUGAUAAUGAGACUAUGCAUGUGUGUGGGUAUAUGGGAAAUCUUUGUAUUUUCCACUCAAUUUUGCUGUGAACCUAAAACUGCUCUAAGAAAAUAAAAUCUGUUUUUUAGAAGGAC